rnacentral:rRNA from 1 species
ACGGGUGAGUAAUACAUCGGAACGUAUCCUGGAGUGGGGGUUAGCCCGGCGAAAGCCGGAUUAAUACCGCAUACGCUCUGAGGAGGAAAGCGGGGGACCUUCGGGCCUCGCGCUCAAGGGGCGGCCGAUGGCGGAUUAGGUAGUUGGUGGGGUAAAGGCCUACCAAGCCGACGAUCCGUAGCUGGUCUGAGAGGACGACCAGCCACACUGGGACUGAGACACGGCCCAGACUCCUACGGGAGGCAGCAGUGGGGAAUUUUGGACAAUGGGGGCAACCCUGAUCCAGCAAUGCCGCGUGUGUGAAGAAGGCCUUCGGGUUGUAAAGCACUUUUGUCCGGAAAGAAAUCAUCGGGGCCAAUACCCCUGGUGGAUGACGGUACCGGAAGAAUAAGCACCGGCUAACUACGUGCCAGCAGCCGCGGUAAUACGUAGGGUGCGAGCGUUAAUCGGAAUUACUGGGCGUAAAGCGUGCGCAGGCGGUGCUGUAAGACCGAUGUGAAAUCCCCGGGCUUAACCUGGGAACUGCAUUGGUGACUGCAGCGCUGGAGUAUGGCAGAGGGGGGUGGAAUUCCACGU